rnacentral:rRNA from 1 species
AACAUAGCAGAUUGCUCAGUAGCACGUGGAUAACCUGCCCUUAGGACUGGCAUAACCCCGGGAAACUGGGGAUAAUUCCGGAUAGAUCAUAAAUGCUGGAAUGCUUUAUGAUUGAAAGGUUUCGACCGCCUUAGGAUGGAUCUGCGGCCUAUCAGGUUGUAGUGGGUGUAAUGUACCUACUAGCCUACGACGGGUACGGGUUGUGGAAGCAAGAGCCCGGAGAUGGAUUCUGAGACAUGAAUCCAGGCCCUACGGGGCGCAGCAGGCGCGAAAACUUUACAAUGCGGGAAACCGUGAUAAGGGAACACUGAGUGCUAGCAUUUAUGUUAGCUGUCCACAUGUGUAAAUAGCAUGUGAUAGC